UCUCUCUGUGUUGUCCAGUUUGGUCUCGAAUUCCUGGCCUCCCAAAGUACUGAGAUUCCAGGCAUGAGCUUCCUCACCCGGCCGCAUUAUUAUUAUUAAUGAGAUUCUCCUCUAAUCUUACUUCUGUUUCUCUGUUAUCUGAGAAAAAUCAGUGGCUGCUCUGGGGGGACAUCAAAACAUCCGCUGGGGAGUAGGAAGAAGAAGGGAGAGAAGAGAAGCACAAGGCAACAAAUCAAGGAAGAAGCCAACUAACCUCUCUUUCUCACUGUAGGCUUCCAGCCUGAAGAGAACCAAGGUGGGAGAGAAGAUUCACUGCUAAGUCAAGCCCAGAGUUAUUAUUAUUAUACAGAAUUGGACAUUCUAGUUUCUAAAUAAAGACUGUUUUUCAUCCA